rnacentral:rRNA from 3 species
AACGGUAACAGGAAGCAGCUUGCUGCUUUGCUGACGAGUGGCGGACGGGUGAGUAAUGUCUGGGAAACUGCCUGAUGGAGGGGGAUAACUACUGGAAACGGUGGCUAAUACCGCAUAACGUCGCAAGACCAAAGAGGGGGACCUUCGGGCCUCUUGCCAUCAGAUGUGCCCAGAUGGGAUUAGCUUGUUGGUGAGGUAACGGCUCACCAAGGCGACGAUCCCUAGCUGGUCUGAGAGGAUGACCAGCCACACUGGAACUGAGACACGGUCCAGACUCCUACGGGAGGCAGCAGUGGGGAAUAUUGCACAAUGGGCGCAAGCCUGAUGCAGCCAUGCCGCGUGUAUGAAGAAGGCCUUCGGGUUGUAAAGUACUUUCAGCGGGGAGGAAGGUGUUGUGGUUAAUAACCGCAGCAAUUGACGUUACCCGCAGAAGAAGCACCGGCUAACUCCGUGCCAGCAGCCGCGGUAAUACGGAGGGUGCAAGCGUUAAUCGGAAUUACUGGGCGUAAAGCGCACGCAGGCGGUCUGUCAAGUCGGAUGUGAAAUCCCCGGGCUCAACCUGGGAACUGCAUUCGAAACUGGCAGGCUUGAGUCUUGUAGAGGGGGGUAGAAUUCCAGGUGUAGCGGUGAAAUGCGUAGAGAUCUGGAGGAAUACCGGUGGCGAAGGCGGCCCCCUGGACAAAGACUGACGCUCAGGUGCGAAAGCGUGGGGAGCAAACAGGAUUAGAUACCCUGGUAGUCCACGCCGUAAACGAUGUCUACUUGGAGGUUGUGCCCUUGAGGCGUGGCUUCCGGAGCUAACGCGUUAAGUAGACCGCCUGGGGAGUACGGCCGCAAGGUUAAAACUCAAAUGAAUUGACGGGGGCCCGCACAAGCGGUGGAGCAUGUGGUUUAAUUCGAUGCAACGCGAAGAACCUUACCUGGUCUUGACAUCCACAGAAGAAUCCAGAGAUGGAUUUGUGCCUUCGGGAACUGUGAGACAGGUGCUGCAUGGCUGUCGUCAGCUCGUGUUGUGAAAUGUUGGGUUAAGUCCCGCAACGAGCGCAACCCUUAUCCUUUGUUGCCAGCGGUUAGGCCGGGAACUCAAAGGAGACUGCCAGUGAUAAACUGGAGGAAGGUGGGGAUGACGUCAAGUCAUCAUGGCCCUUACGACCAGGGCUACACACGUGCUACAAUGGCGCAUACAAAGAGAAGCGACCUCGCGAGAGCAAGCGGACCUCAUAAAGUGCGUCGUAGUCCGGAUUGGAGUCUGCAACUCGACUCCAUGAAGUCGGAAUCGCUAGUAAUCGUGGAUCAGAAUGCCACGGUGAAUACGUUCCCGGGCCUUGUACACACCGCCCGUCACACCAUGGGAGUGGGUUGCAAAAGAAGUAGGUAGCUUAACCUUCGGGAGGGCGCUUACCACUUUGUGAUUCAUGACUGGGGUGAAGUCGUAACAAGGUAACCGUAGGGGAACCUGCGGUUGGA